GAGAGGGAGCGUGGAAGAGGGAAAUGGAGGAGAAAUGCAGAGGUAUAGAGAUGUAAAGGUACGAAAAGAAGAGGAGAGAGAGACUGGAGAGCUAAGUAAAGACAUUGACUCGGGCAAAUAGAAAAAGACAAGUAUGAAGAGGGAAUUUCUUAAAUAUAGACAGGUUAUGUAGCUGAAAGAAAGGGAUUUGGAUUGACUACAUCUGCUGGAAUUCAUAUGAAUAAUAUUAUUUACUUCUGUGAGAAGGCAAAUUUACAUGUUUAGAUUCCAGGCGAAAAGCCACAUGAACAUGGGGAGAUGUUGGAAACUCCACAUGGAGUUAGUGGCUGGGAUCUGAUCCUCAUUGAAGCUGGAGUGAGGCACCAACCUACCCAGGCUUGGACUUAGCUAUGGCUUCCAGGCAUAGUUCUUAGCCAUGCGUACAUCUGUGAGCAAAACUUACUCAAGGGCCCAACAGGAAUAUGAUUACAAAGCAGAGGACAGGAUCCAAGCUGGCACCUUUCCAGUCACAGGAUUAAUGCACUAAGCGGGUACAUGAGAAAUUCUUCAGGACUUGAAGCAGCAAUUUUCUCCUUUAAAAAGCUCAGGCCCCUCUCUUCACUACACCCACACGUCCAUAGCAACAACGCUGCCGUAUCUUAGUAACCAUAUUUACGCACGGAGGCAAAAGCAGGUGGGGACAGAUCUGCUUUUCAACUACAACAAGGAGAUAAGGACCCUAAGUGCACCUGGAGGUUACAGAUGACCAGGCCCCCACAAUCCCCCCCACCGAAACCACAUCGAGAUGCUUUGGGUUGGGAUGAGUUGAACUGAAGAGUAAGAGCAAGGUAGCCAACUCGGAUUGCCCAGAGCUUGUGGAAACUUCUUCAGGACUGUUGGAGAAGCAGGUGUUUACGUCUGGAAGCUGGUUGAAAGAAUGCCAAGUCUGCAAUGUUGUCGUCAAGGCAAAAACAGGGCUAUUCGAAGAGUCAACAUAGAUAAAAUAGAGACAAAUGCGUUAAAAGCAGGUGUGUCCAGACCUUUGAUUGACCUUUUCUUAUUCAUA